rnacentral:rRNA from 1 species
UACAGAGGGGGCAAGCGUUGUUCGGAAUUACUGGGCGUAAAGCGCACGUAGGCGGCUUUGUAAGUUAGAGGUGAAAGCCCGGAGCUCAACUCCGGAAUUGCCUUUAAGACUGCAUCGCUUGAAUCCGGGAGAGGUGAGUGGAAUUCCGAGUGUAGAGGUGAAAUUCGUAGAUAUUCGGAAGAACACCAGUGGCGAAGGCGGCUCACUGGACCGGUAUUGACGCUGAGGUGCGAAAGCGUGGGGAGCAAACAGG